rnacentral:rRNA from 1 species
UACGGGGGGAGCAAGCGUUGUUCGGAUUUACUGGGCGUAAAGAGCGCGCAGGCGGUCGUUCAAGUCGCGUGUGAAAGCCCCCGGCUCAACUGGGGAGGGUCACGCGAUACUGAUCGACUCGAAGGCAGGAGAGGGAAGUGGAAUUCCCGGUGUAGUGGUGAAAUGCGUAGAUAUCGGGAGGAACACCAGUGGCGAAGGCGACUUCCUGGCCUGUUCUUGACGCUGAGGCGCGAAAGCUAGGGUAGCAAACGGG